UGCCAGCAGCCGCGGUAAUACGUAGGGGGCAAGCGUUAUCCGGAAUCACUGGGCGUAAAGGGUGCGUAGGCGGUUUUUCAAGUCAGAAGUGAAAGGCUAUGGCUCAACCAUAGUAAGCUUUUGAAACUGUAAAACUUGAGUGCAGGAGAGGAAAGUGGAAUUCCUAGUGUAGAGGUGAAAUUCGUAGAUAUUAGGAGGAACACCAGUGGCGAAGGCGACUUUCUGGACUGUAACUGACGCUGAGGCACGAAAGCGUGGGGAGCGAACAGGAUUAGAAACCCCAGUAGUCC
rnacentral:rRNA from 1 species